rnacentral:rRNA from 1 species
GACGAACGCUGGCGGCGUGCUUAACACAUGCAAGUCGAACGGAAAGGCCCUGCUUUUGUGGGGUGCUCGAGUGGCGAACGGGUGAGUAACGCGUGAGUAACCUGCCCUUGACUUUGGGAUAACUUCAGGAAACUGGGGCUAAUACCGGAUAGGAGCUCCUGCUGCAUGGUGGGGGUUGGAAAGUUUCGGCGGUUGGGGAUGGACUCGCGGCUUAUCAGCUUGUUGGUGGGGUAGUGGCUUACCAAGGCUUUGACGGGUAGCCGGCCUGAGAGGGUGACCGGCCACAUUGGGACUGAGAUACGGCACAGACUCCUACGGGAGGCAGCAGUGGGGAAUAUUGCACAAUGGGCGGAAGCCUGAUGCAGCAACGCCGCGUGCGGGAUGACGGCCUUCGGGUUGUAAACCGCUUUCGCCUGUGACGAAGCGUGAGUGACGGUAAUGGGUAAAGAAGCACCGGCUAACUACG